AGACAUCCAGUUCAGAGUUUAAGCAUCAAAAUCAGGGGGAAAGAAAACCUCUAGUUGAAAUAUAUCCAGAAAAAUCAGCCUUCUCCAAAAGGGAAUAGCUCCAGCAUCCUAAAUCUAAGCAAAGUGAUAUAUUCAUGACAGGAAAAGAGAUGGAAAACUUUUCUUUUUCGGAUCGACAUCUUCCUAUGCAUUAAGGACAGAAAGGGCACCAAACAGCCAAUGAAGACAGAAGAGGAUGAGUGAUCAGCUUGGAUAAGUGCUGAAGCCAGAAUGGAUCAAAGAAAAAAAAAGCUUCAAACAGAUUCUCAUGGGUGGAAGAUGAUAUUCUGGCUUACAAGAUGGCUUAAAGG